GGGGGUGUAGCUCAGUUGGGAGAGCGCUUGCAUGGCAUGCAAGAGGUCCGGGGUUCGAGCCCCCGCACCUCCA
rnacentral:tRNA from 1 species